CCACGAUCUUUUUGUUGAUACGAAGGUUUCCCCAAGUCCAAGGAUACACAUGUUGUUAUCUCUUUCACAAUUUCAGGUUGAUUCAAAGUUAAUAUUUGUGUGUUCCCCAGCGAAAAUACGUACAUUUGCCCAUAUUCCUUCCUCCAUAGCUCAAAAAAUGGAAAAAGAAGAGCAGCACAGUUAUGGAUUAGAGGUGGAUCAUUGGACGAAUGAGCUUUCACAGCCGAGGACUGUACCUUCUUGAUCUCUCUUAUAUUUCCAAGAAGAAAAGUUGGUGGUGGUCCAUUGAUGCCCUGCUUUUUCAGGAUGGAACGAAGCCUCUUUGGUUUCACAACCAACCCAUUAUAAAGACGCACCAGCACUCCAAGAAACACUAUAACCACAACAGUAAGCAAUAUCUUGGUAUCAAAUUGAACUUCCAUGGCCAAACUGACAAAAACUUC
rnacentral:misc_RNA from 1 species